GCAGCGCAGCGCAGCCGCCCCUUCCCGGACCCGACCUGCGAGCGCGACCCGCGGCGGCCGCCCCUCUUCGGAGCCAUUUAUUGGCACCUACUAUGCCUAGAAUGAUGCCUGAUGCUGUUCUAGGCCAAGCAGUCAACACAAGAAGCGUGGUCUCCAUGGAGAUGUGAUCAGCAGGCUGGGAGAAUCCAGCUCCAUGGAGGGAAGGAUUCAUCUUCUGAUUAAGGAAAUUUCCAAAACCACAAGGAGAGAAACAGUACGAUGAGCCCCGUGUACCCAUCUUCCAGAUUCAACAGUUAUAAACAUUUUGCCCAUCUUGUUUUAUCUGUUUCCCUCAUUGGUAUUCCCUCCCCCACUUUGGAUAUUAAAGGCCAAACUCAGGUGUCA